GACGAACGCUGGCGGCGUGCUUAACACAUGCAAGUCGAACGGUGAUGCUCCAGCUUGCUGGAGUGGAUCAGUGGCGAACGGGUGAGUAACACGUGAGCAACCUGCCCCAGACUCUGGAAUAAGCGCUGGAAACGGCGUCUAAUACUGGAUACGAAACUGGCCCGCAUGGGCAUGGUUUGGAAAGUUUUUCGGUUUGGGAUGGGCUCGCGGCCUAUCAGCUUGUUGGUGAGGUAAUGGCUCACCAAGGCGACGACGGGUAGCCGGCCUGAGAGGGCGACCGGCCACACUGGGACUGAGACACGGCCCAGACUCCUACGGGAGGCAGCAGUGGGGAAUAUUGCACAAUGGGCGAAAGCCUGAUGCAGCGACGCCGCGUGAGGGAUGACGGCCUUCGGGUUGUAAACCUCUUUCAGCAGGGAAGAAGCGAAAGUGACGGUACCUGCAGAAGAAGCACCGGCUAACUACGUGCCAGCCGCCGCCGUAACAC
rnacentral:rRNA from 1 species